AACGAACGCUGGCGGCAGGCUUAACACAUGCAAGUCGAGCGAGACCUUCGGGUCUAGCGGCGGACGGGUGAGUAACGCGUGGGAACGUGCCCUUCUCUACGGAAUAGCCCCGGGAAACUGGGAGUAAUACCGUAUACGCCCUUUGGGGGAAAGAUUUAUCGGAGAAGGAUCGGCCCGCGUUGGAUUAGGUAGUUGGUGGGGUAAUGGCCCACCAAGCCGACGAUCCAUAGCUGGUUUGAGAGGAUGAUCAGCCACACUGGGACUGAGACACGGCCCAGACUCCUACGAGAGGCAGCAGUGGGGAAUCUUAGACAAUGGGGGCAACCCUGAUCUAGCCAUGCCGCGGGAGUGAUGAAGGCCUUAGGGUUGUAAAGCUCUUUCAGCUGGGAAGAUAAUGACGGUACCAGCAGAAGAAGCCCCGGCUAACUCC
rnacentral:rRNA from 1 species